rnacentral:ncRNA from 1 species
AACGACCGGUCGGACACGCGUGCGUCCCAGCAGGCGGGCCCGGCCCACAAGUGGAGACUCCGAGCUCCCACCCGACUGUCCUCCAGGACGGCGGGUCACCCCGGUCAGGCGGCCACCAUCGUUCCGUACGGACGAUGGAGUCGCCCGGUAGUGCGCCCCGCGAUCCUUGCGGCGGUGCUCCGGUAGUGCUUGGAGCCCCGCAUGUGAUCGUUCGGGGCAUUUUUU